rnacentral:rRNA from 1 species
UACAGAGGUGGCAAGCGUUGUUCGGAAUUACUGGGCGUAAAGGGCGCGUAGGCGGUUCGUUAAGUCCUGUGUGAAAUCCCCCGGCUCAACUGGGGAACUGCACAGGAAACUAGCGGGCUUGAGUUCGGGAGAGGGAAGCGGAAUUCCGGGUGUAGCGGUGAAAUGCGUAGAUAUCCGGAGGAACACCGGUGGCGAAGGCGGCUUCCUGGACCGACACUGACGCUGAGGCGCGAAGUGUGGG